GACGAACGCUGGCGGCGUGCCUAACACAUGCAAGUCGAACGGGGGGAACAUGAAGUAUUUCGGUACGGAAUGCGCCCCUAGUGGCGAACGGGUGAGUAACACGUGGGCAACCUGCCCCAGACUGGGGGAUAACAUUGUGAAAACAGUGCUAAUACCGCAUGACAGGGUUCCGGGCAUCCGGGACCCUUGAAAGGAGAAAUCCGGUCAGGGGAUGGGGCCCGCGUCCAAUUAGCUAGUUGGCGGGGUAACGGCCCACCAAGGCGACGAUUGGUAGCCGAACUGAGAGGUUGAUCGGCCACAUUGGGACUGAGACACGGCCCAGACUCCUACGGGAGGCAGGCAGUGGGGAAUAUUGGGCAAUGGGCGAAAGCCUGACCCAGCGACGCCGCGUGAAGGAUGAAGGUCUUCGGAUUGUAAACUUCUUUGAUCAGGGAGAAGAAAUGACGGUACCUGAAAACAAGCCACGGCUAACUACGUG
rnacentral:rRNA from 1 species